rnacentral:rRNA from 1 species
AUUGAACGCUGGCGGCAGGCUUAACACAUGCAAGUCGAGCGGGCGAGGUUGCUUCGGUAACUGAGCUAGCGGCGGACGGGUGAGUAAUGCUUAGGAAUCUGCCUAUUAGUGGGGGACGACAUUCCGAAAGGAAUGCUAAUACCGCAUACGCCCUACGGGGGAAAGCAGGGGAUCUUCGGACCUUGCGCUAAUAGAUGAGCCUAAGUCAGAUUAGCUAGUUGGUGGGGUAAAGGCCUACCAAGGCGACGAUGUGUAGCGGGUCUGAGAGGAUGAUCCGCCACACUGGGACUGAGACACGGCCCAGACUCCUACGGGAGGCAGCAGUGGGGAAUAUUGGACAAUGGGCGAAAGUCUGAUCCAGCCAUGCCGCGUGUGUGAAGAAGGCCUUUUGGUUGUAAAGCACUUUAAGCGAGGAGGAGGAUACCUGGAUUAAUACUCUAGGAUAGUGGACGUUACUCGCAGAAUAAGCACCGGCUAACUCUGUGCCAGCAGCCGCAGUAA